AAGAGAUCGGGGAUAACACCCUGGGAACAGAUGCUAAUACCGGGAUAACAACAGAUGAUGCCCUAUCAACUGUUUUAAAAAGAUGGGUUCUGCUAUCACUCUUGGACGGGACCUGCGGUGCAUUAGCUAGUUGGUAGGGUAACGGCCUACCAAGGCGAUGAUGCAUAGCCGAGUUGAGAGACUGAUCGGCCACAUUGGGACUGAGACACGGCCCAAACUCCUACGGGAGGCAGCAGUAGGGAAUCUUCCACAAUGGACGCAAGUCUGAUGGAGCAACGCCGCGUGAGUGAAGAAGGGUUUCGGCUCGUAAAGCUCUGUUGUUGGUGAAGAAGGACAGGGGUAGUAACUGACCUUUGUUUGACGGUAAUCAAUUAGAAAGUCACGGCUAACUACGUGCCAGCAGCCGCGGUAAU
rnacentral:rRNA from 1 species